AGUGAACGCUGGCGGUAGGCCUAACACAUGCAAGUCGAACGGCAGCACAGUAAGAGCUUGCUCUUACGGGUGGCGAGUGGCGGACGGGUGAGGAAUACAUCGGAAUCUACUUUUUCGUGGGGGAUAACGUAGGGAAACUUACGCUAAUACCGCAUACGACCUACGGGUGAAAGCAGGGGAUCUUCGGACCUUGCGCGAUUGAAUGAGCCGAUGUCGGAUUAGCUAGUUGGCGGGGUAAAGGCCCACCAAGGCGACGAUCCGUAGCUGGUCUGAGAGGAUGAUCAGCCACACUGGAACUGAGACACGGUCCAGACUCCUACGGGAGGCAGCAGUGGGGAAUAUUGGACAAUGGGCGCAAGCCUGAUCCAGCCAUACCGCGUGGGUGAAGAAGGCCUUCGGGUUGUAAAGCCCUUUUGUUGGGGAAGAAAAGCAGCAGGUUAAUACCUCGCUGUUCUGACGGUACCCAAAGAAUAAGCACCGGCUAACUUCGUG
rnacentral:rRNA from 1 species